GCCAGGUAUGGUGGCACAUGCCUGUAAUCCCAGCUACUCAGGAGGCUGAGGCAGGAGGAUCACAAGUUCAAAGUCAGCCUCAGCAAUUUAGCGAGGCCCUAAGCAACACAGUGAGACCCUGUCUCUA
rnacentral:sRNA from 1 species